rnacentral:rRNA from 1 species
GACGAACGCUGGCGGCGUGCCUAAUACAUGCAAGUAGAACGCACAGUUUAUACCGUAGCUUGCUACACCAUAAACUGUGAGUUGCGAACGGGUGAGUAACGCGUAGGUAACCUGCCUGGUAGCGGGUGAUAACUAUUGGAAACGAUAGCUAAUAACGCAUAAUAUUGAUUAUUGCAUGAUAAUUGGUUGAAAGAUGCUAUUGCAUCCCUACCAGAUGUACCUGCGUUGUAUUAGCUAGUAGGGGAGGUAACGGCUCACCUAGGCGACGAUACAUAGCCGACCUGAGAGGGUGAUCGGCCACACUGGGACUGAGACACGGCCCAGACUCCUACGGGAGGCAGCAGUAGGGAAUCUUCGGCAAUGGACGAAAGUCUGAACGAGCAACGCCGCGUGAGUGAAGAAGGGUUUCGGAUCGUAAAGCUCUGUUGUAAGAGAAGAACGGGUGUGAGAGUGGAAAGUUCACCCUGUGACGGUAUCUUAACAGAAAGGGACGGCUAACUACGUG